rnacentral:rRNA from 1 species
UACGAACUGUGCGAACGUUAUUCGGAAUCACUGGGCUUACAGGGUGCGUAGGCGGCUUAGCAAGUCAGGUGUGAAAGCCCCCGGCUCAACCGGGGGAACUGCGCUUGAAACUGCUGAGCUCGAGUCAGCUAGAGGUCACGGAACUUCCAGUGGAGCGGUGAAAUGUGUUGAUAUUGGAAGGAACACCGGAGGCGAAAGCGGUGUACUGGGGCUGGUCUGACGCUGAGGCACGAAAGCCAGGGGAGCGAACGGGG